ACUCCUACGGGAGGCAGCAGUGGGGAAUAUUGGACAAUGGGGGCAACCCUGAUCCAGCCAUGCCGCGUGAGUGAUGAAGGCCUUAGGGUUGUAAAGCUCUUUUGUCCGGGACGAUAAUGACGGUACCGGAAGAAUAAGCCCCGGCUAACUUCGUGCCAGCAGCCGCGGUAAU
rnacentral:rRNA from 1 species